rnacentral:rRNA from 1 species
GUGGGACAGGGGCUGGUGCUCGGCCUUAUUUUAACGCGCGGUGCGACGUCCGUUUGUCGCUGACGAGGCGGGCCGUGGAUCAGUUUCGGCGUUCUCGUCUGAUCCGUGGACCAGGAAGUCGAUGGGCCCAGGCGGAAAUUGUACGGGUGGUCUGGUUCCUUCGUGACCUCACUUCGGAGCUCGAGGCUGGCGGCGGCGGCGACCCCAUGGAGUUCCUGAUGCAGCCUAUACGCCGAUCCACUUUCCUAGAGGUGGUGGGAGCGAGUUUGGUGCCCCCACCAGUACCGCGGAGCCGACUGUGGUGGCUAUGGUGGUGGAGCAUCAGGUGGUGGUGGAACAGGUGGUGGCGGCGCAGGAGGCUCCGAUGGGCAGCGUGGACGCACAGAUCUUGGCGACCAAGGGAGCGUCGGCUGAUAUGAGGGACAGCUUGCCACCGACCUCGGAGCUGUCAAUUGGAAGAUGAAUCCCCGAGCGCUUCGAUGGAGUAGUGGCAACGAGGCGGGGCAGCUGAGCUACGGAUCGGAAUCGGCAGAUCCAAUAUUAUUCAGAAAGUAGGGAAAGUUUGGUGCCAUGCGAUUUGCUGCAAAUGGGACUGCCGAAUCAGGUGGAGGUGCCGCGGCAGCAUCCCACGGCAGGAUCUUCGGGCCUGCUGCGGUGGUGGCGAACAGAAGGGAUAACUCGCCUAGUUGCCUUCAACCAUCGGGCUCUCCGCGGGGAAGAUGAAUCCCCAGGCCCCGGCUGAAAUAAAAGGGUAAAGUUGGUGUUCAGAACAGAAGGUCUUGCCAUUGCGAAUGUCUGGCUCUGAUAAAGACUUUUACAAGCAGAGGACAAUGUUUGAUACUCCUCUGUAAAGAAAUAUAUUAUUUCUUUACAAAGGGAGUACAUUAAGCAUAGAGAGAGUCAUAAUAUUCGCUUUCACUGAAUUUGGCGAGAUAAUCCACAGUUAGAGAAGCAGGAGAGAGUUUGAGGCAAGUAACCCGUGGUAGUAAUCAUACUAGUGGAGGUGCUGAUGCUGGCUCUGGGAGGGGUACGAGGGGGCAGAACAAGAGUUGUUGUGUUAACAAUGCAGUGACAGGGGAUGGGACACCUUGCGAUGUGCCUGAAGCCUUGAUGCAAUAUGACCGCAAUGAUGUUGCUGGACAAUCAGACAUCCAUGAGCAUGAGGAUGAAGUGGGUAGGGGAUUGUGCGUGAUGUCAGGCUGGAUGAGGAGUAACCUAAGGUUGCAGAUAGGCAUGGUCAGGACAUCGUGAAGGGUGAGAUGGGUGAUAAGUUCCGAGGAAAAGCUGGUUUGAAGGAUGAAGAGCCAAACGCAAGAGACAUGCUACUUUCUAUGACAGGAUGUUGUCAUGCACUUCCAGAGAACUUAGCAAGAGAAGACUUCGUGAGGGAGUUCGGACCAAACGGGCUGUUGACAGUGGAUUCGUGUGUCGCGGCUGAUCAUUACAAGGAAGGUCGGAUGUUUGAUAGUUGACAGAUCAGGUGGCACCACGUCUUUGACUUGCGGUUUGUGAUGAUGCUGCCGGUGCCAAUGUACGAGGUCCAUAGUGUAUGAGGUGAUUUUGAUGAGGGGGACAGGGUUGAGCUGCCAGAUUUCAUGCUUGAAGUGCUCUUUCUUAGGUAUGAGUUAUACGGAUGUAGUAUUUUAGAUCCGGUGUCUGCGAGAUUGAUUAUGAAACACGCUGUGUACAUUAGACACUGGAGGGGAAUGUUAGCUACCAUCUCAUUUUGUGGUGUGGUAGUGAUUCUAAGCCCAGUGUUUGCCACAUUGAGCCUAACCUGUAUUUUGAGCAAGACAUGGCAAGCUAGAUUACAUCCUAGUCAGCUGGCGUGGAAGUGCUUGUGAUCACUCUGUGCUUAGCUAUACUAUAUUUGCAUGUAAGGAUUGACAUGCCACAUGUUGAAGGUGGUAACUGAACCAACAGAUGAUGAAUCGUUGGUUUUUAAGAUUUGUAAGUGCUUUGUUAAGAUUGUAGUGCAGAACUCUGUAAGGUGUUCAUUUUGCAAUUAAUGCUGUUCAGAACCAUUUGGAGUUACUCUCCAG